rnacentral:tRNA from 1 species
UCCCCAGCAGUCGAGUGGUUAAGACUCUGAGCUCUCAAUGCAGAGAACACAGGUGUGAUUCCUGGUUGGAGAA